rnacentral:rRNA from 1 species
UACAGAGGGUGCGAGCGUUGUCCGGAAUCACUGGGCGUAAAGGGCGCGUAGGCGGCCUGGUAAGUACGGGGUGAAAUCUCACGGCUCAACCGUGAGGCUGCCUCGUAGACUGCCGGACUUGAGCGGAGCAGAGGCUAGCGGAAUUCCCGGUGUAGCGGUGGAAUGCGUAGAGAUCGGGAAGAACAUCGGUGGCGAAGGCGGCUAGCUGGGCUCUUGCUGACGCUGAUGCGCGACAGCGUGGGGAGCAAACAGG